UCGCAAUCGUUAUGAUAAACUGAUAAGGUGUGAUAUGCUUUAAGAGUAAGCGAACAAUGUUUUCAUAAUAACAAUCCGACUGCGCUAAAACAGUUUGCUUUCGUUGGGUUAUAUGGUUACGUGGAAUCUGAGCUGAAUUUGAGCGAUGCCACCCCGCCAGGACCUCGUGGUGCAGCCGACGGUGAUCCGGGUGGAGACGACCAGGCCCCCGCCGCCGCCGCCGCCGGGCCGCCUGCAGCGACCGCCGCACGACCAUCCCUCAACCUACCUGCGCAGGCCUGCCAACCCGCCACGCGACAGGCUGACCAACACCGUCGCCAAUAACCAAUGACACAAACAAUGGACCUUUUUACGAAGUCGUGUGCGGUAGUUGUAAGAUUGCAAUCUGUAGUUCUUAAGUUUUUUUGUCGAAUAUUGGUUGCAGCCUAAAGCUAUGACGAUUUCUACGAUAACUAAGGAAUUGUUAAAAGUAUUUUAAAAUAAUUUAUUCCAUCAAAUGUGUAACGAAUACGGCUCAAAAUAUGCCGUUCUAUAUUAUAAAAAUAGGUACCCAAUCUGAUAUAAAAAAAAUCAUAAUAUUUUUGUUACAGAUGUGAUGUCUAUUGAUUUAAAUAUAUAAUUAAUUUAUAUUGGCUUAGAACUAAGAAAAACUUAUAUGUGUAGGUUCUAAUGUGUUUGUAAAAUAUAAUUUAGAAAUGUAACACUAAUUAUAAAAAUAUAGCAUUAUUUGUGUAUCUCUUUAUUUUAUUUAGUAUGAGUAAAUAAAAAGAUAAAUGCUCAAAUAUUACACAGAA